rnacentral:rRNA from 1 species
UACGUAGGGGGCAAGCGUUGUCCGGAUUUAUUGGGCGUAAAGCGCGCGUAGGCGGCGCGGUAUGUCGUGCGUGAAAUCUCCCGGCUUAACUGGGAGGGGCCGUGCGAAACUGCCGGGCUUGAGGUCGGAAGGGGAAAGUGGAAUUCCGGGUGUAGUGGUGGAAUGCGUAGAUAUCUGGAGGAACACCGGUGGCGAAGGCGGCAUCCUGGGCCGGUAUUGACGCUGAGGAGCGAAAGCCAGGGGAGCAAACGGG